rnacentral:rRNA from 1 species
GAUGAACGCUGGCGGCGUGCCUAAUACAUGCGAGUCGAGCGAACAGACGAGGAGCUUGCUCCUCUGACGUUAGCGGCGGACGGGUGAGUAACACGUGGAUAACCUACCUAUAAGACUGGGAUAACUUCGGGAAACCGGAGCUAAUACCGGAUAAUAUAUUGAACCGCAUGGUUCAAUAGUGAAAGACGGUUUUGCUGUCACUUAUAGAUGGAUCCGCGCCGCAUUAGCUAGUUGGUAAGGUAACGGCUUACCAAGGCAACGAUGCGUAGCCGACCUGAGAGGGUGAUCGGCCACACUGGAACUGAGACACGGUCCAGACUCCUACGGGAGGCAGCAGUAGGGAAUCUUCCGCAAUGGGCGAAAGCCUGACGGAGCAACGCCGCGUGAGUGAUGAAGGUCUUCGGAUCGUAAAACUCUGUUAUUAGGGAAGAACAAAUGUGUAAGUAACUAUGCACGUCUUGACGGUACCUAAUCAGGAAGCCACGGCUAACUACGUG